GUAGUCCACGCCGUAAACGAUGGAUACUAGGUGUGGGGGGACUGACCCCCUCCGUGCCGCAGCUAACGCAAUAAGUAUCCCACCUGGGGAGUACGAUCGCAAGGUUGAAACUCAAAGGAAUUGACGGGGGCCCGCACAAGCGGUGGAGUAUGUGGUUUAAUUCGACGCAACGCGAAGAACCUUACCAGGGCUUGACAUCCUGCUAACGAAGUAGAGAUACAUUAGGUGCCCUUCGGGGAAAGCAGAGACAGGUGGUGCAUGGCUGUCGUCAGCUCGUGUCGUGAGAUGUUGGGUUAAGUCCCGCAACGAGCGCAACCCUUGUUGCUAGUUGCUACGCAAGAGCACUCUAGCGAGACUGCCGUUGACAAAACGGA
rnacentral:rRNA from 1 species